UGGGGAAUUUUGGACAAUGGGGGAAACCCUGAUCCAGCCAUCCCGCGUGUGCGAUGAAGGCCUUCGGGUUGUAAAGCACUUUUGGCAGGAAAGAAACGUCGCGGGUUAAUACCCCGCGAAACUGACGGUACCUGCAGAAUAAGCACCGGCUAACUACGUGCCAGCAGCCGCGGUAAUACGUAGGGUGCAAGCGUUAAUCGGAAUUACUGGGCGUAAAGCGUGCGCAGGCGGUUCGGAAAGAAAGAUGUGAAAUCCCAGAGCUUAACUUUGGAACUGCAUUUUUAACUACCGGGCUAGAGUGUGUCAGAGGGAGGUGGAAUUCCGCGUGUAGCAGUGAAAUGCGUAGAUAUGCGGAGGAACACCGAUGGCGAAGGCAGCCUCCUGGGAUAACGCUGACGCUCAUGCACGAAAGCGUGGGGAGCAAACAGGAUUAGAUACCCUGGUAGUCCACGCCCUAAACGAUGUCAACUAGCUGUUGGGGGCCUUCGGGCCUUGGUAGCGCAGCUAACGCGUGAAGUUGACCGCCUGGGGAGUACGGUCGGCAAGAUUAAAACUCAAAU
rnacentral:rRNA from 1 species